rnacentral:rRNA from 1 species
CAGCCGCCGCGGUAAUACGGAGGGUGCAAGCGUUAAUCGGAAUUACUGGGCGUAAAGCGCACGCAGGCGGUCUGUCAAGUCAGAUGUGAAAUCCCCGGGCUUAACCUGGGAACUGCAUUUGAAACUGGCAGGCUAGAGUCUUGUAGAGGGGGGUAGAAUUCCAGGUGUAGCGGUGAAAUGCGUAGAGAUCUGGAGGAAUACCGGUGGCGAAGGCGGCCCCCUGGACAAAGACUGACGCUCAUGCACGAAAGCGUGGGGAGCAAACAGGAUUAGAGACCCGCGUAGUCCCUGUCUCUUAUAC